rnacentral:rRNA from 1 species
GAGGAAUAUUGGACAAUGGGCGCAAGCCUGAUCCAGCCAUGCCGCGUGCAGGAAGACGGCCCUAUGGGUUGUAAACUGCUUUUAUACGGGAAGAAACACUCCGACGUGUCGGAGCUUGACGGUACCGUAAGAAUAAGGAUCGGCUAACUCCGUGCCAGCAGCCGCGGUAAUACGGAGGAUCCGAGCGUUAUCCGGAAUCAUUGGGUUUAAAGGGUCCGUAGGCGGGUUAGUAAGUCAGUGGUGAAAUCCGGCAGCUUAACUGUCGAAUUGCCGUUGAUACUGCUAAUCUUGAAUUACUGUGAAGUGGUUAGAAUAUGUAGUGUAGCGGUGAAAUGCUUAGAUAUUACAUGGAAUACCAAUUGCGAAGGCAGAUCACUAACAGUAUAUUGACGCUGAUGGACGAAAGCGUGGGGAGCAAAC